GGGUGCGAUCAUACCAGCAAUAAUGCACCGGAUCCCAUCAGAACUCCGAAGUUAAGCUUGCUUGGGCGAGAGCAGUACUAGGAUGGGUGACCUCCUGGGAAGUCCUCGUGUUGCACCCCU
rnacentral:rRNA from 1 species